UUCUGGUUGAUCCUGCCAGAGGCGACCGCUAUUGGAGUUCGAUUAAGCCAUGCGAGUCGAGAGCUUUAGGAGCUCGGCAUACUGCUCAGUAACACGUGGAUAACCUGCCCUGUGCUCUGGGAUAACCUCGGGAAACUGAGAAUAAUACCGGAUAGUCCACCACGCCUGGAACGGUGGGUGGAUCAAAGGUCACGGCACAGGAUGGGUCUGCGGCGUAUCAGGUUGUAGGGGGUGUAAAGGACCCCCUAGCCAUUGACGCGUACGGGUUGUGGGAGCAAUCGCCCGGAGAUGGAUUCUGAGACACGAAUCCAGACCCUACGGGGUGCAGCAGGCGCGAAAACUUCACACUGCAGGAAACUGUGAUGAGGGAACUCCAAGUGCAUGCACAAUGUGUAUGCUUUUCCUUACUUUUAAUCGGUUUGGGAAUAAGGGCUGGGAAAGACCGGUGCCAGCCGCCGCGGUAAUACCGGCAGCUCAAGUGGUCGUCGCUUUUAUUGGGCCUAAAACGUCCGUAGCCUGUUUGGUAAAUCUGUGGGUAAAUCAACCAGCUUAACUGGUUGAAUUCUGCAGAGACUGCCAGACUAGGGACCGGGAGAGGUGUGGGGUACUCUCGGGGUAGGGGUAAAAUCCUGUCAUCCUGGGAGGACCACCAGUUGCGAAGGCGCCACACUGGAACGGAUCCGACGGUCAGGGACGAAGCCUAGGGGCACGAACCGGAUUAGAUACCCGGGUAGUCCUAGGAGUAAACGCUGUGAACUUGGUGUCG
rnacentral:rRNA from 1 species